rnacentral:rRNA from 1 species
UACGUAGGGGGCAAGCGUUGUCCGGAAUCAUUGGGCGUAAAGCGCGUGUAGGCGGUUCAGUAAGUCUGCUGUGAAAGUCCAGGGCUCAACCCUGGGAUGCCGGUGGAUACUGCUGGGCUAGAGUACGGAAGAGGCGAGUGGAAUUCCCGGUGUAGCGGUGAAAUGCGCAGAUAUCGGGAGGAACACCUAUUGCGAAGGCAGCUCGCUGGGACGUCACUGACGCUGAGACGCGAAAGCGUGGGGAGCAGACAGG